GCCUCACAGCAUUACUGCUGAGGAUUAUCCCGCCACUGAUCAAAGGGUACCCAAGCUACAUUCCACGAAGGUCGAAGCCAUGGCUGAAAUCGAAGUUCGAAGAGCAAAAGCUGAAGCCGAUGAUAAUGCCACUAAAUUGCUAUGAUGUCUGGCUGUUGAGGGAGGUUGGACAUGAUGGGGUGGAUCAACCAGAAAAUGGGUCUGAAUGCAUGACGGAUUCAACCUGCUUCAAGUCAUUUUCAAUCUACAGGGUAAUUUGGAUGAUGAAAUUUCAUGCUGCUCACAUGAUAUAGCACUACCUGUUUGAUCUCUUGAGGGGCAUGGCAUGGCUGGUUAAUUUCUAUCUGUUUUUGUUGUCCAUCUUAGAUGCAUUGCCAAAUCAAAUGAAUAGAUGCCUGUUGUAUCGAGGAAUCGAUAAGUGCAUAUGAUACUACUGCAUUAGAUCAAAGCUAUGAUGUCUUUGAUUCUCUGAUAGCAGGCAGUGAAUAUAACAUAGAAAACUCUGUAUAUCCCUAUAUCCUAUCUCGCCCUCAAAGAGGAUUGUAUGUGCAGAUGCACCUUUCUUGCAUAUUCAUGCAUGUGCCGGAAAACCCUAUUUGACAAUGUCUUCUCUUUCUUACUAGGUGAUAUAUCGUAUGAUGAUCUCAAUCCUAGUCUGUAAAGAGAAAUGCUAAACAACUUAUGCUA